GAUGAACGCUGGCGGCGUGCUUAACACAUGCAAGUCGAACGGAAAGGCCCAAGCUUGCUUGGGUGCUCGAGUGGCGAACGGGUGAGUAACACGUGGGUGAUCUGCCCUGCACUUUGGGAUAAGCCUGGGAAACUGGGUCUAAAACCGGAUAGGACCAUCGUUUAGUGUCGGUGGUGGAAAGUUUUUCGGUGUGGGAUGAGCUCGCGGCCUAUCAGCUUGUUGGUGGGGUAAUGGCCUACCAAGGCGUCGACGGGUAGCCGGCCUGAGAGGGUGUACGGCCACAUUGGGACUGAGAUACGGCCCAGACUCCUACGGGAGGCAGCAGUGGGGAAUAUUGCACAAUGGGCGCAAGCCUGAUGCAGCGACGCCGCGGGGGGGAUGACGGCCUUCGGGUUGUAAACUCCUUUCGCCAAGGACGAAGCGUUUUGUGACGGUACUUGGAGAAGAAGCACCGGCUAACUACGUG
rnacentral:rRNA from 1 species